AUUGUAGCGGCGCGAAACUUGUAUAGCGCCAUCUGUGGCGUUAAGAAAAUUUGUGCAACAGAAAGCCUAGUCAAAGGCUUCAGACUUGAUGUUUGUUACCAUAGAAUUCAUGACUUUGCUCCGGAUGAACAAAUAGUUGGUAAGCUACGAUACAUGAUUACUGUAGAUAACUGAUUUACUGUCAAAUAUAUGAAACUAGUUGUUUCAUAUGAUUGUUCAUUUCCUGUGAAUUAUGUGCAAAUAGUGAGUUGAUUUUGGAUGAUUAACGCAACGUUAUGUACAGAAGCCUAUGUGUUGCUAUGGGGCUAUGAAACGCAUUGCACCCAGGUAUGUGUCGUGCAUAAAGGGGUUUAUUCAUAUAAACAAGCUCUAAGAUGGUGCAUGAUUUAAUUAGUAUGAUAUGUUAUAGUGACUUGCACAGCUUGUAAGAGUUAAAAGAGGUUAAUUACCAUUAUAAGGAGUGUGUAGAACCGUUUCUGAGGGAAUAUUAUUGAUGUCAGUUGUAUAGGGUCUGGAAUCACAUAGACUACUUUGUAAUUGCUUAAUUAAGGGGCAUUAUGAAGCCGUAUCUGUAGAACACCGUGCAUUACAGGCACAUUCUAAGCACAGGAAUUUAUGAAGAUAUAUAAAUCAAGCAGAGACAUAAAUGAAUACACUGUAUAGCUGGAUAGUUGCAUUCUUUUUGGAGUUUAUUUCGUAUAUAAACAUCACGUUUAUAUGUCAAGAGUAUUUACAAGAUUCACUGUAAUGUAGACAGGGUUACAUGCAUUUAAUUCUGUUUAUAUGAUGCAUAUGUUUAUAAUGCUUUGUUACUUUGUUGUUGUUUACAGUGAACCGCUAAUUGGAUUGCUGAUUUGCUAAUGAUGAUGAUUCGCUAAUUGGAUUGCUGAAGAUGAUGAUUCGCUAAUUGGAUUGCUGAUUUGCUAAUGAUGAUGAUUCGCUAAUUGGAUUGCUGAAGAUGAUGAUUCGCUAAUUGGAUUGCUGAAUCGCUAAAUGAAGAUGACUUGUUACGAAAAGAACAUAAAUAAAGAGAAAUAAGAACUCAACAAGUCGUUUGCAACGUUUCCUUUAUUGGCGCGUUCACACAAAAAGUUCACAACUGCGUUCUAGAUGUCGGAGAAGGUCCAAGCAAGCAACCAGCAUGAGGGGUCGGAAGCUGGAGAGCCAAAGAACGGCGUUGACGGGGAUGCAACGGCAAGGAGUGAAACCAGAGCAUCCAGGGACGCUGAAGUGAAAUCGAUGGCCUCCAGGGCGAGCAUCUCCUCAAGCGUGAAGAUGAGAGAAGCCGAGGUGAAGCGGCAGCUUGCUAGGAUGAAGGUAGUACAGCUACAGAGAGAACAUAAACUAAAACGAGAACAGUUCGAACUCAACGAAAAACUUGAUAGACUCAAGAUUGAAAAUGAACUUGAGAACGCCGAAGCUGAAGCAAAAUUGUGGCAAGAACAUGAAAUAAAGCCACAAGAACUGUUACAAAUUCCAGAAGGUCAAACUCAGCAAAGAACUGCUGAAUGGUGUACAGGGAAUGUUGUACCGGUAGAUAUUUGUAAUGAGAAUCAGGAUGUUACUUCCCAAAGAGUGUUGGGUGAACAUACAAUGCCAAAUGCAUAUACAUGUAAUAAGAAUGUAAAUUCUGUAGAACAUAAUUUGUCAGAGAUGAUGAUGGCAAUGCACCUGCCCAAACCUGAUAUGACUUGUUUUUCCGGUAACCCUAUUGAUUAUUGGAGCUUUUGUAAUUGUUUUGAUGUUAACAUUGAGCACAAGGUGCAAGAUAACAGGAUGCGACUAACCUAUUUAAUACAAUUUUGUACAGGCAAGGCAAGGGAGGCUAUAGAGAAUUGUAUUUUGUUACAUCCCGAUACUGGAUAUUCAAGAGCUCGUAGCAUCCUACAAGAUCAAUUCGGACAGAACUACAUAGUAGCGAAGGCACACGUCGAUAAGGUGAUCUGCCGAGCCAACCUGCGCCCAAGUGACAGUCAGGCCUUAUGGGAUCUGGCCAGAGAUAUGAGGAGAUGUCAAAUGUCCACAUCACAGAUGGGUUAUUCAGCGGACAUGAGCUCAACGGACACACUGCUUAAGAUACAGAGCCUUCUGCCUGUUCACCUACAAGCCAGGUGGGCAUCUAAGGCUCACGUAGCCAUGGAGCAGUCUGUAAUUCCCAACUUUAGCCACAUGACAGACUUUAUCGAACAGGAGGCUAAGAUAGCAAGCAACGUCUUCGGGAAGAAUAUCGGACAGUCAUUCAAGUCAAGUUCAAGUGCAAAGCGACAGAAAGGGAGCGUGGGAGGCAGAGCUUCAUCCUUUGCAAUGGAAGGAGUAACUGACAGGCCUAAUAACAGAAAGGAGGAAUGUCCAUGCUGCAAGAAGGAGCACCAGUUGGAGACCUGUUUCAAGCUAAGGGACUUGCCUCAGAAGGAGAGAUUUAUCUUCCUAAAGAAGAGUGGCAUCUGUUUUAAUUGCCUUAAGAAGGCACACCUAGCAAGGAACUGUCCCUCAGACUCGACCUGUAAGAAAGAAGGAUGCAGUCUAAAAUGGAAACACCACACAUGGUUGCACUUUGAAAGGAAGGAAAGCCCCAACCAGAAGAACAAUGAAGACAGCCCAAGUCAGCAGAACGGGGCCGGAGUGACAACUGGUGUGGAAUGCCAUACAAUUAGAGGAAGAGCUGACGUACGCUUAAGAGUACUUCCUGUGAAGGUGCGUCAUGGAGCCAAGGAGGUUACGACUUGGGCACUGCUUGAUGAAGGAAGUGAUACGUCCCUUUGUGAAAAGAGACUUGCAGAGGAACUGGGAAUUGUCGGAGUCAACAAGGAAUUCAGGUUGACCACAAUCAAUGGAGUGAACACUCCAAGGAAAGGAAUGGAAGUUAGCAUGACCAUUCAAGGCUUGCAAGAAGACACUAAGAUCGAUGUGGACAGGAUGUGGACUGUUGAUGUUCUACCCAUAUCGUCCAGAAGUAUACCAUGUCAGGAAGAUGUCGAUAAGUGGCCUCAUCUUCAGGGCAUUCAACUAGUGACAGCAGGCCAAGCAAAGGUUCAGCUCCUGAUAGGAGGCGACACCCCAGAAGCAUUCUGGGUAGAGGAAGAAAGGAGGGGUCAAAAGAAAGAUCCCUAUGCGAUCAGAACGCCUUUGGGAUGGACGUUUAUUGGACCUGCAUCAAGCUCAAGUCACAGCAACUCGUACGAAAUUCACCACAUCUCAGCUGAGGAGCUUCAUAAUCAAGAGAAGCGGUUUUGGGAGAUGGACUCUGGUCCAGGAGAUGAAAGAGUUGGUGAAUCAGUGGAACAAGUAGAUACAAAGAGAAACCCCGCAGAUGAUGGUUCACGGGGUAUCCCUGCAAGAAGCCUGGAUAGAUGGCUUACAGGACCUGAGUUCUUGUUACAAGAAAAGGAAGUCUGGCCGGAAGAUCCAGCAAGUUUGAAGAAGGAAGAUGUACCAGAACUUGAUCUUCAGAAUGACAGUGAGGUGAAGAAAACUCAUGUCUACGCUACCAGCUCACAUGACGAGAUAGAUGAUCUAAUGACAAGGUACUCAUCAUGGGAUCGUCUGAAGCGAGGAAUUGCAUGGCUACUACGGUACAAGCAAUACUUGCGGUCCAAAGGAACGGGCAACUUGGCAGAAAGAGGAAGCUUGACAGUUCAGGAAUUGAACAAUGCAGAGGUCGAAGUGAUCAAACACGUACAGAGACACUCAUUUCCUGAUGAGUACGUGAAGGGGAUAGAGAAGAAAACCAGGAAACAAGGAAAUCUCCUUGAGAAGCUGAAUCCUGUCAUGGUUGACGGACUGCUACGAGUAGGAGGGAGAUUGAGCAAGGCUCCUAUUCUGGAUGACGAGAAACAUCCAAUGAUUCUUCCCAACGAUCACCACGUUACCAAGCUUCUAGUGGUUCAUCAUCAUCAGAAGGUUGGACACUGUGGUAUGGGUUCGACAUGGACCUCUCUCAGAGAAAGAUUUUGGAUCAACAAGGGAGGUGCUACAGUCCGUCACACCAUAGGUAACUGCUUCAAAUGCAGGAAGCGUAAUGCUUCAAGAGGUCAGCAAUUCAUGGCUGAUUUGCCGGAAGAGAGAGUUACUCCGGGAGAACCACCUUUUACGAAUACAGGGCUUGAUUACUUUGGCCCAUUCCCGACGAAGCAUGGUCGCAGUACACAGAAGAGGUAUGGAUGUAUCUUUACAUGUUUAUCUACUAGGGCAGUGCAUCUUGAGAUGGCUUAUAGCUUGGAGACUGACUCAUUCAUACAAACACUGCGUCGCUUCAUCAACCGUAGAGGUCAACCCAAGGCUAUAUUCAGUGACAAUGGCACCAAUUUCAAGGGGGGUCAGAAGGAGCUAAAGGAUGCUCUUGCAGGGCUGAAUUCCGAGAGAGUGAACCGAUACCUCACACAGAAGGGCAUUGCAUGGCACUUCAACCCGCCAGGAGCAAGCCACAUGGGAGGUGUAUGGGAGAGGAUCAUACGGUCAGUGAGGAAAAUCUUGACCAGUCUCCCACAGCAGACGCUUACAGACGAAGCGCUACUUACCCUCUUCACAGAAGUAGAGGCAAUAUUGAAUGGAAGGCCUCUUACUCACCUGAGCAUGGACUCCAGAGAUGAUGAGCCAUUGACCCCGAAUCAUUUGUUGUUGCUUCGUAAGAACCCAAGUCUGCCACCAGGGAUCUUUGUGAAAGAAGACUGCCAUCUACGGAGACACUGGCGCCAAGUCCAGUACCUAGCAGGGCAGUUUUGGACCCGAUGGGUCAAGGAAUACUUACCCCUGUUGCAGCAACGUCAGAAAUGGACUAGACCAAACAGAAACUUUGAAGUCGACGAUCUGGUUCUAGUGGUCAACGAAAGUACCCCUCGUGGACAGUGGCCCAUCGGAAGAGUGUUAACGACCUAUCCAGACAAGCGUGGACUUGUAAGACAAGUAGAGGUUCGAGUAGGGCCUCGAUAUUACAAGAGGCCAAUUUCAAAGCUGUGCCUCUUGGAAGCCAAUGUAGAGGCUUCUUCCUAAACACAACGAAGGUUGUUAUAUAUGAUGUGAAACAUUUAUAUGUUAUUGUUCAAAGAAUUUCUAACAUUACUAACUUGCAUGUAUGUCACAGUUUGAAUUGUUUAUGCAAACAGUUUUGACAAGAUUUGUGAAAGUUAAAUGGAUGUUUGUUUUUGCUUUCAGAUAUUUUACAGGUAUAUCGUCAUUGCGUUAAUGCAUACCAAAUGUUACUGUAAUUCAUUCAUAGUUUAAUGCAUGCCGCUUUAUGGUAAUGUAGAAAAUGAUUUAAGGAUAGGUAACUCAUUUGGGGCCGGAAUGUAGCGGCGCGAAACUUGUAUAGCGCCAUCUGUGGCGUUAAGAAAAUUUGUGCAACAGAAAGCCUAGUCAAAGGCUUCAGACUUGAUGUUUGUUACCAUAGAAUUCAUGACUUUGCUCCGGAUGAACAAAUAGUUGUGAACCGCUAAUUGGAUUGCUGAUUUGCUAAUGAUGAUGAUUCGCUAAUUGGAUUGCUGAAGAUGAUGAUUCGCUAAUUGGAUUGCUGAUUUGCUAAUGAUGAUGAUUCGCUAAUUGGAUUGCUGAAGAUGAUGAUUCGCUAAUUGGAUUGCUGAAUCGCUAAAUGAAGAUGACUUGUUACGAAAAGAACAUAAAUAAAGAGAAAUAAGAACUCAA